rnacentral:rRNA from 1 species
UACGGAGGAUGCGAGCGUUAUCCGGAUUUAUUGGGUUUAAAGGGUGCGUAGGCGGAUCGUUAAGUCAGUGGUCAAAUUGAGGGGCUCAACCCCUUCCCGCCAUUGAAACUGGCGAUCUUGAGUGGAAGAGAAGUAUGCGGAAUGCGUGGUGUAGCGGUGAAAUGCAUAGAUAUCACGCAGAACCCCGAUUGCGAAGGCAGCAUGCCGGCUUCCGACUGUCGCUGAAGCACGAAAGCGUGGGGAUCGAACAGG